GAGGGAAGGUCCUCAGAGAGAUUCCUGAAAGUUAAAGAAGAUAAAUGUUGCGCUUGACAGAAAAUUAUGCAGGUGACAGAACUCCAGGGACAUCACUUCACCUGAAGCUGGGCACAAUGAGACCUAUGCCUCGGCUUUUCCCCCAAUCUCCUUCUCAGACAAAGCUCAACCACAAGG
rnacentral:lncRNA from 1 species